rnacentral:piRNA from 1 species
UGUUUUAUGGGUUCCUACAUUGAUUC